AAGUCGUAACAAGGUUUCCGUAGGUGAACCUGCGGAAGGAUCAUUUCUGAAGGCUUUUUGCCAAACCACUGUGAACUGUCAGCUCCGGCUGACAACUGCUUGGGUGACUGCUUCGGCGGCGCCCAACAUUUAAAACUUCUACUUUUAAUUCUGAAACCAAGAAAUUUAAAAACUUUCAACAACGGAUCUCUUGGUUCUC
rnacentral:misc_RNA from 1 species